GCAAGUCUUGCACUUAGACGAAAUGCCUCCAGAAAUUAUAGAUUAUAAUUGAUAGUUUUUAUGUCGAGCUUGCGACAUUAAACAAAGCGCUUAGUGGGAGACAACCCACAAAUAUUUUAUUAUUUUCUUCUAUUAUCAUUUUUAUAUUUCUUCCUUAAUUAUUCUUUUAAUUUUUGUUUAGUAUUCAUUCUUAAUUUAUUUUAAUUUAUUAAAAAC
rnacentral:lncRNA from 1 species